AUUGAACGCUGGCGGAAUGCUUUACACAUGCAAGUCGAGCGGCAGCGCGGGGCAACCUGGCGGCGAGCGGCGAACGGGUGAGUAAUGCAUCGGAACAUGUCCAUGUCGUGGGGGAUAGCCCGGCGAAAGCCGGAUUAAUACCGCAUACGCUCGAGAGAGGAAAGCCGGGGACCGCAAGGCCUGGCGCGAUUGGGUUGGCCGAUGUCCGAUUAGCUAGUUGGUGAGGUAAAGGCUUACCAAGGCGAUGAUCGGUAGCUGGUCUGAGAGGAUGAUCAGCCACACUGGGACUGAGACACGGCCCAGACUCCUACGGGAGGCAGCAGUGGGGAAUUUUGGACAAUGGGGGCAACCCUGAUCCAGCCAUUCCGCGUGAGUGAAGAAGGCCUUCGGGUUG
rnacentral:rRNA from 1 species